GACGAACGCUGGCGGCGUGCUUAACACAUGCAAGUCGAACGGAAAGGCCUGCUUUCCCUUGUGGAUUGCGGGUACUCGAGUGGCGAACGGGUGAGUAACACGUGAGUGAUCUGCCCCCAACUUGGGUAUAAGCCUGGGAAACUGGGUCUAAUUCCCGAUAGGACUGCAGGGUGGUGCCUGUGGUGGAAAACGAUUUUCUAGUGGUUGGGGAUGAGCUCGCGGCCUAUCAGCUUGUUGGUGGGGUAAUGGCCUACCAAGGCGGCGACGGGUAGCCGGCCUGGGAGGGUGGACGGCCACAUUGGGACUGGGAUCCGGCCCAGACUCCUGCGGGAGGCAGCAGUGGGGAAUAUUGCACAAUGGGCGGGAGCCUGAUGCAGCGACGCCGCGUGGGGGAUGACGGCCUUCGGGUUGUAAACUCCUUUCGACCGCGAGGAAGCCACGUGGUUGGAAGGGUGGUGACGGUAGUGGUAGAAGAAGCACCGGCUAACUACGUG
rnacentral:rRNA from 1 species